GACGAACGCUGGCGGCGUGCUUAACACAUGCAAGUCGAACGGCAAGGCCCUGCUUUUGUGGGGUGCUCGAGUGCCGAACGCGUGCGUAACACGUGAGUAACCUGCCCUUGACUUUGGGAUAACUUCAGGAAACUGGGGCUACUACCGGAUCGGAGCUCCUGCUGCAUGGUGAGGGUUGGAAAGUUUCGGCGGUUGGGGAUGGACUCGCGGCUUAGCAGCUAGUUGGUGGGGUAGUGGCUUACCAAGGAUUUGACGGGUCGCCGGCCUGAGAGGGUGACCGGCGACAUGAGGACUGAGGGACGGCGCAGACGGGUACGGGAGGCAGCAGGGGGGAAUAUUGCACAACGGGCGGAAGCCGGAGGAAGAAGCGCCGCGUGCGGGAUGACGGCUUUCUGGUUGAAAACCGCUUUAGCCUGUGACGAAGCGUGAGUGACGGUAAUGGGUGAAGAAGCACCGGCUAACUACGUG
rnacentral:rRNA from 1 species